rnacentral:tmRNA from 1 species
GGGGCUGAUUAGGAUUCGACGGAAUUCAAGACGCCCGAGGUGCAUGUCGAGGUGCGGUUGGCCUCGUAAAAAAGCCGCAAUUUAAAGUAAUCGCAAACGACGAUAACUACGCUCUAGCGGCAUAAUAGCCCGCUAGCACUUCUCCGGUGUAUGUCUGUGGACCCGGUUCUGAAGUGUCACCCUACACAGACUCGCUGCGGAAACCCUGGCCGGGGUUGAAGGGCUAAAACUAAGCGGCCUCGCCUUUGCAGAUCGUGUUCGUCCGAGCUGUAUAAGGUUAACUAAAAGACGAUACUAAGCAUGUAGUACCAAAGGUCGAGGCUUUUCGGACGGGGGUUCAAAUCCCCCCAGCUCCACCA